UGUUGGUGGUUUUGGGUCGAACCGAUUGGGAAGGGGAGGCUCGGAGGGCGCAGAAGCUGACCGGUGGGGCGGGUCGUCAUUGUGGUGACGUGGAUGAUGAUAAUAAGAAGAGGAUUAGUGAUAGUGAUAAUAAUAAUAAUAAAAUUAACGAGGGGAUCAAGGGGGCUGACGAUUGUUUAUAUGGAGGAUACUCAAUUGUUUAAUUUCAAAAUAUAAAAAGAAAAAAUAUAGAAUUUGUUUUUUUUUGGUUUAUUUAAUAUUUUGGGGGAGGGGGUUUUAUUAUUAUGUAGUUUGAUUUUUAAGAUGUAUAUAGGAGUAGUGGCAGAUUCAAGAUAUUCAAGUCGGACAUCGAAUUAUAAUAAAAAGAAUUUAUAUUCUUAUUCUUGAAAUUUUCGGUUUAUAGAAUGAGACAAGAGAGUUAGAAAUUAGUUAUAUUUGAUGAGAUGAACAUUUGGCUAAGUUGGGGAGUGGUUAUCUUCUAAGGGAGCAACAAAGAAA
rnacentral:lncRNA from 1 species